GUCAGGCUGGGCAUUUACUCACUUGACUAAUACAGAGAACCAAAUGGAGUGAUAGGAAGAGAAGACAGCACUUUCCCGAUGUUGAGGCUCCAAAUGAACAUCUGUCCAUUUUCUGAUGAGUUGGUCGACUCCGGACUCUGGCGAGAAGCCAGUUUUUCCUCUGGAGCAGAAGUCUCACUGCCACCCAGAAUGCAUGUGAUCUACUCCUUUCCACAUCAGCCUUUUUGUACCGGGAAACAAUUUCUGUGUUUCUCUAGAUAAAAAUAUAAUUUGAAAGCCAUAGCUUCUGUAUAAAUUAUUGCAACUUCGUUUUCAGCUCACUAUUGGCUUCCAUUUAUUUGAAGUGAAUGACGAUGUCCCUCUAUUUGAAAAGACCUUUCUUCCACACCUGUCCUCCCUUCAACCUGCUGUUGGAAUCAGAUCCCUUAACUACAGAGAAUUCAAUGGACCCCAAUCCCAUACACGUCAAACUUUGAUUAAAGAAUGUCUUACUCUGACCAAGGAUCUCAGAGCCCCCAGAUGAACCUCAAGGCAUUGUUGGCCAUUUUUCUUUACCAUUUGUGGGAUAAAAAAGCUGAAAAUAGCCAGGAGCAGUGGCUCCCACCUGUAAUUCCAGCACUUUGGAAGGCUGAGGCAGGUGGAUCGUGUGAGCUCAGACAUUUAAGAUCAGCCUGGGCAACAUGGUGCAACCCUGUUUCUAUAACAAGUACAAACAUAAGCCAGGCAUGGUGGCAUGUGCCUUUAGUCCCAGCUACUUGGGAGGCUGAAGUGGGAGGAUUGCUUGAACCUGGGGGUUUGAGGCUGUGGUGAGCUGUUUUUAGGCCACUGCACUCCAGCCUGGGAGACAAAGCAAGACCUUGUCAAGAAAAAAAAAAAAAAAAAAAAAAGAGACCUGGUUUGGUGGCUCACACAUGUAAUCCCAGUGUUUUGAGAGGCUGAGGUGUGAGGAUCCCUUGAGCCCAGGAGUUUGAGACUAGCCUAGGCAACAUAGCAAGACCCCAUCUGUAUUAUUAAAAAAGAAGAAGAAGAAGAAAAAGCCUAAGGGUAAGUGAGCAAAGGGCCAAAGGCUUCUGGGUUUGUGGACUCUACACUUGGAAGACUGAAAUGGGCUUUGCAGAUUAGGAUCAGCAUUCAAAAUUGCUUCUAGAAGUUUCUGAGUAGGUAGAAAUUAGGAAGAGAGGCUUGCAGAAGUCUGAGUCAACUAGACUGAGGUCAGAAUCCCAGCUUGACCUCUUAUUAGCUGUUUGACAUUAGGUAAAUUUCUUACAUUUACUUGAGCCUCAGUUUCUUCAUCUGAACACUGGGACAUGAUCAUGCCUGUCUCAUUUGUUGUUGUCAGCCAAAAUGAGAUAAAGUAAUGGCUGGAGUAUUAUCAGAAUGCUAAAAUAUUCCCAGGUGCUGUGGUCUGAAUGUCUGUGUCUCCUCUCCGAAGUUCCCAUGUUGAAAGCUAACCCUGAUGUGAUGGUUGGUAUUAGGAAGUGAAGUCUUUGGGAGGUGAUGAGGUCAUGAGGGUGGAGCCCUCACAGAGGUGAUUAGUGCCCUCAUAAGUAAGGGGCUAGUGAGGGCGAAGCAGGAAGCAGGCUGUCUGGAAGAGGCCACUCCAGAACCCGACCAUGCUGGCACCCUCAUCUCAGACUUCUGGCCUCCAGAACUGUGGGAAAGAUUUGUUAUUUAUAAGCUAGAAGCUUCCAGAGCUGUAAAAAACAAAUGUCUGUUAUUUAUAAGAUACAGUCCAUGGUAUUUUGUUAUCUCAGCCCAAAUGGACUGAGACAACCAGUAAAUGUUAGUUCAUUCCCCUCUUUGCAUGCAAAGGGAAAACUGCUUGACCAUGAUUUCACAUCAAGAGCUGUGUCCACACUUAGUAGGUCCAUAUGGCAAGCUUUGUUUGGGCAGAACUACAACAGCACCCUGUCUCUGAAAAUAGUUAUUCAGAUCUAAAGACGCUACCCCAGAGCCGUGCUGCUUUAUAGCCCCUGACCAGUCAACAUCCUGAUUACGGUGGUGUUAGGGGCCUGACCUUGAUCUACUUUUCCUGUGGUCAGGAGAGGUAGACUGAACUGUCCCCAGUGUGCCCAUGGGAGCUGUCAAAACAAAGUUCAGAGAAUAGGUUUGGUCCUUGAACACUCUCUCUGUGCACCUCCUGUAUCUGUAGCAGUAAUUAUCAAUCAACAAACAGAUAAAUACAAUUACGAUGUUUUCUAUGUGCCAGGCACUAUGUUACGUGCUCUCCAUGUAUUAAUUCAUUUCAUCUUAACUCGACAGUAGGUGCUCAAUAAGAAUAUGACAACUUACAAAUUCCUACAGCAGCCCAAGUUCAGGGCUAUUUCCACCCUCAUCGCACAGAUAAGGACACAGUCACAUGUAAUGCACUUUGGAGUUUACAAAGCAUUGAAAUAAAGUGCACAUUUUCUGAGUAUAAAAGCAGCACAUAAUAAUAGUAGGAAACAUGGAAAAUUAAUAGAAUUAAAGAAGAAAAACAGCAAUCACCCUUAAUCCCAUCACUCACCGAAGCAGCUGCACCUGAUUUUUAAAUGGGCUCCCUGGAUAGAGAUGAUGAUGAUAUUGAUAUAUUUUGUAGAAACAGAAACCAAAGCUUUGAGAGAGCAGUUGCACAGUGUGGAGCAGAUCUGAGGCUCGAACCCAGCCUUUCCCCGUAUUUCCCUACAACUCUGAAGGUUGCAAUUUUUGAAGUCUGUCUCGAUUGGAUUUGCAGGUUCCUCUUCCACUCUGGGGAAAGUUCUGAAGCACUCGGUCUGAGUGACUGGAGUGGGGCUGGUUUAACCUGUGAUGGUAAAUCACUCAUUCUCAAGCUUCUGACCUGGGAGCCUUAGAUCCCUGGGGUAGAAGGGUAGCCAGAGUUAUUGCAAGAGGCCUGAGAAUGCAUGUGCCCUGCAAGCAUUGCCUGUGUAGACUGAAUAAGCAGCACUUCCCAGCCAUGUGAGCUGUUAUUUGUUGAAUCUAUGUAGAUGGCUAUAAUUAAUAAAAUGCAUGUUUAUUCAAAAGCAUGGCUAAAUUCAUUAUAGACUUUUGUCAUGUAUUUUCUUAAUCAAGAAAUAUUAAACAUACAACCACUAUCACAUGAGAGUCUGCCAUAUUUUGGGGGUUUCAAAAGGAUUCACAAAUAUGAGAAUACAGGCGCUGCUACUAAAGAGGAAAGCCAAGGAAAGCUGAGGCUGCAUCCAGGGCUUGUGCAGAGCAAGGGGACAGUAGAAAUGGGGAUGGGCGUCUCUCUGGAGGGACUUGGAAGCAGCCACUCAUUUAGUAAGCUCCACGGUGUGGUAUCGUGUUAAUGAAAUACUCACUUAGUUUGUUAAUUUUUAAAAUGGUUUUUAAAAAAUCUGAAUCCAUUUCAUGUUGCAUAGACCUAGUCUGAGUUUGGAAGGGUAGCCCAAUAGAAAUGAAGGUGCGGACUUAUUUUAUGGCUCUAGUCUUUCAUGGAAAAAGAGUGAUAUUGCCUUGUGUGAUUCUGGGAAGCAGCCUGCCACGUCCCUUCUUUGGGCGAGUGAAGAGGUAAAUCUAGGUGCAUACUGGGGCACCAUGCCUGCUUCACACCACCUCUCACCUGUCACCUGGGACCCUUCCUCUCUGCCUUGUGGUUUAUGGUCCCCUGCCCAUUUUCUCUGCCAGAUUUUGGGCUUUGUGGGUCCAGGACUACGCCUGCUCUUUUUUGGGGGGUGGGGGACAGUGUUUUGCUCCGUUGCCCAGCCUGGAGUGCAGUGAUGCCAUCAUAGCUCACUGCAGCCCUGACUUCCCAGGCUCAAUUGAUCCUCCCACCUCAGUCUCCUGAAUAGCUGAAACCUGGCUAACUUUUUUUAUUUUUUGAAAAGACUGGGUCUUGCUAUGUUGCCCAUGCUGGUCUUGAACUCCUGGCCUCAGGUGAUCUGCCCACCUCGGUGGCCGUUAAGUGCUGGGAUUAUAGGCAUGAGCCACCACACCUGGCCCUGCAUCUGCCUUGUU